CGGAGUGUCGCCGGACAACGUUGAAGGCCGUCGGAGGUCCUCAACUCCUCCAGCCGGUUCCGAUUCACGGUCGCCGCAGCUCCGACGUUGGCGAACGAACCGAAGACGGCGUCGUCUUCCCUCCGGCCCAGCGAACUAGGUGCGCAUUCUGAGUCUCGCUUCGUCCCACCUGCUUCCCUCCCUGUGCCGGACCUUUGCAUUCACCGCCGGAGUGCUGCCGAAGUGGCGACUGUACGGUGGACGAAAAAGAGGGGUUUUCCGGGUUGUCAGUCCCACCCACACCGUAGGCAAUCGUCUCUGUUCCAACCGCCACACCUCGUGUUCACUCAAGACUGACUGGAAAGAAACACACGCAGCUGCCACGGUUGACAUUGGACAAUUGGGCUUUGGCAAUUUAAGGAAGAAGCUACUAAUUCACUUGAGCUGGGAGGGUGCACUCGGUCCAAACAGCUGAUGCUUGUCCAGCUUAGUAAAGCCACGGUCCAACACAAGAUCACACAUCCCGCACGAAGGCAAUGAGGCCCACGGAAGAAGGGAAUGUAGCACUCCAGCCGAAGAGAAAACAGAAGAAAGCAAGAAGUGGUGUACACGUGAUGUAGAGCUGGACACGGUGCAUUCCAUUCUGGAACAAGAAGCACACUACACGUUGGAGGCAGUAGAGCAUACAAUAAGCGUGGGAGAUAUUAUUUUCUUUGGUUCAACUGGAAGACGCAUGGCCUGCACACUGACGCCCCAAGAGAAUAACAAACACAUCCAGCAUGGUCCGGAGGAAGAAAAUAGAAAAGAAAGAGGCUGCACUCAUUCACGCUCGGGACUGAUAACUGCCACCUCCAGAAAUGCAGAAAGAAUAGUUGCACGCUUGCUGCCACUUUGGUUCAGGAAUUCUCUGAAAAGAGGAGUGGAGAAAUUAUUUUUGUAAGAGAGGUGGAGAACAAGAGAAGGUGGACGGCCAGGAGCAGGGAGAUUCUCCAACAACAACUCUAGGUUCUCAUCUUUUUUCCAGGGGCUCUGGAAGAAAGGGGGACGACAUUCAGCAUGCAGAUGGGGACGGGAGAACUCUCUCAUAUUGUUUUUGUUUCUUGGAGAACGUUGCCUUGAGAGAGGAGAACUGCACCCAGCCCACACCUCAGUACACAUCCAGCUGCCAUAUACUUCUCAGACGGACUCUCUCACCUUUGGCUCUUGGUCUUUGGAACGUUGCUUUUGGAGAUAGAAGGACUGCAUCCAGCUGCCAACUUGGAGGCGCACGUUCACGAGCCACCGCGUACGUACACAUCCAGCUGCAAAUGGUUUCGCUUGGAACGUCUUUGGAGAGCUUGGAAUGAGAGGUUGAAGCAGCACUGCAUCCAGCUUGGAACGUUCUCUAAUAUUAAUUUUAUAUUUUCAGGUAUAGAAAGUUGAAGCAGCACUGUAUCAAAUCAAAUUUUUAAACAAUUUAAGAUAGGAUAUUUUAAAUCUAUUUAAACUGAUAAUUGUCAACACCCAAUUUC
rnacentral:sRNA from 1 species